AGGGCUUCUCUGUGAAGUUGCAUACUCAAUUCCAAUUACUAUCUUAAAACAAGUGGGAAGACAAGAAGACAAGUGUCCACAGCAGAACACCAAAACCACGGCUUAGCACAGAGAAACCCUGCAGGGAGCAAAUUAGUCUCAUUUUGGAAAAGACAGAACAUGCACAAAGGACCCCCCUGAAAGGUUUCCAGUGCUCUGUUCCCGGAUGCGUUGCAGUCAGUGUAAUUACCUGAUGUGGAAAAAGAGGCAUGGACGUGGCCCUGUGAAAGGACCAUCUCUUUUCAGCAUGGGGCAGGAGCCAAACUGUACCCUGGAACACCUACAGAUAUCAUUGGUUUGACCUGGACAAGAACUCAGAGGCGGGUGAACUCACUUCACCUGAGUUCUUGGGAACAGACCCCUUCUCUGUGAAUCUGAAACUCAAGGGCACAAGGGAAAAACGCCAGCAUGGAUGUUUUCUCAGGCUGCCUGCUGUGUGCUGUGGUGAUGUUUCUGCAGAAAGCAGAGUGUGCAGACAGAACCCAAGGUGGUCUUCUGUUUCCUGAACAUCUCAGAGAGUCCCUGUGGCAUGACACACAGGUGGAAAUGGGCACAUUGAAGAUACUCUAUUCAUUAGCAAAAAUCUUGAAUCCUGGAAGAGCUCUCAGAAUCUCACACAGAGUGUGAGAACCACC
rnacentral:lncRNA from 1 species